CAGACAGUUGACAGUGGUUUCUCAAAAACUCCCUUUAAUGUAGUUACACUGGGGACCGGGUUACCUAUUAAAACCAAGCUGAUCUCUCACAUCUGACCUGUGGUUGUGCCUGCUUUCAUCUCAUCCAUCCUUUCAUGUUUUCGGAUUACGGUGCUGUGGGAGGCCAACCUAAGGUGUUUAAUGAAUACCAUUAUUUUAUAAGCUUCUCUUAAAUAGUUAGACAAAUAUUCUGUAAUCCUUUGGACUCAUCCUAGGUCAACCACAUAGUUAAUGGACAAUGAUAACAAACAAGUUGAAAUUGAAGCUUUGGGGAAAAUGCCCCUUCCUUCAUCACACGCACGUGUGCGCACAUGCACAGUCUGAAGCACGACAGACACGGUACAGAAGAAAUACAACACUCUGUCAUGGAUAUCUUACACAACUCCAGUCCUGCAGAUGUAGUUUGGAAUUCUGAAGCAUUAUUCAAGUGAGUCCCUUCAUAGGUUGUCCUCCAAAAGAACCUGCGUGUAGAUCCUGACAGGAGCAACAGAGAAACCUGUGGGGUCAUCGUUCAAGAUGCUAUGGGGUCAUUUUUUUUCCUGGAACCGUGCAGGAUUUUCUGAACCAAAACUGUUACCAUCUUCCUGUCAUCUUUUCAUUGUCAAGAGACAAAGCCCUGUGCAGCACAGGAGAAGUUUAAGAGUCUGUGUUGUCUGGAAGUCAAUGUACAGGGGUGACUAGUGAAUGAACAAGGAAAUCUGCCAAAAAUAGCUGUGGUGACGUGGAUGGAACUGAUUUCUUCAGCCCUGGAAGAUGGACAAUCAAUGAGAUGAAUAGUGCACGUCUUUCCUUCGCAAACUACGCACAGUUGAUGUCUUCAUGAAAUAUCAAACAUGGUUGCAGCUAAUGCAUGGAGGUAGACUGAUUUUUUAUGUUACCCACAGUGGAUAAAUAAACUGUAGAAGGGUACAUGCCAUAUUGUACCUUGUCUCCUUCCUUGUGAACAGCAGCAGGCUGGAAGCCACAGCCUUCAACACUUUACUAUUAAAGAGGGCUUAUUGUACAUUUUACCCAUUUCAUGUAAGUCCAGUGCCCGAGAGAGGCUCUUCAGGAUAGAUUUUACAUCUGCUGCUCAAUUCUCAAGUGCCCACUCAGGAGUAUGGAAGUACUUGGGGAAUUUUGGGUUUUAAAGGAGAUAUUUUCAAAUAGAGGGUUAUUAUAGUACCUUUUAACUACGAUCUCCAUGUGAAAAGGUUUCAAUUAGUAAAAUAUAUGUUAGAUUGGUGUGCCAAGGGACUUGGGAGAUAGCUUGUUGGGAUGCCUGCACCUUUGCAUUUAUUCAGUACCCUAUGAUACAGCAUAAGUGAUGCUUCUAUAUUAUUAUUAUAUAAUACUUCUAUAUUCCUAUUUCUAGCCUCAUGGGUUCAACCAGACUGCAUACAUUAGGGAAAUACUAUGUUUUGGCAUACUGGGAGAGGUAAGAUGUGUUGUCUUGUGCCAUGAUGUGAAACUCUUAUUUCAAAUCUAUGAAAAGCAGUAGAAGGCAAUGGUCCUAUCUUCACCACAGUUCUGCCUUCAUGGAACUGCAAAAUUUAGUUAAUCUUUUACAGUUUCCACACUUAGCAUCUUUCCAAGCAAUAUAGAACACAUGUUCAUCCAGUGGUGUAUAUAUAUAUACAGAAAUAUAGAUAUAUACAUGUACACAUUUGUACAAAAGAAGAUUCAUUGGGUUUUUUGGUCAAUUGGCUCACACCUAAAAUAACUUUUUAAGUUAAAUGAAACAAGUCAAUUUGGGACACAUCAAAUGCAAUUUAGAAACUUUCAUACAUCUCAGAUGUGUAGUUUUGACUCCAAAGAACAUCAGUCAAGCUUGGGAACUGCGUUUGCAGUAUUACUGUUAUUAUUAUUGUAUUAUUGUUUGUAGUGUUACUGUUAUGCAAUAACACUGGCUGUUGUGGUGGCUAAUGAGGAGAUAAGCCAUGAAAUACAGUGCUCCAUGGAGUCCUGCAAGAAUUAAGCUGUGAAUCUGUGAUGAGUCCAAAACAGACAAAAGAGAUGCUUCUCCAUGUCUAUGGUGGAGGGACUCUUUACUUAUUCAGGUUUUCUUUUCACAGUAGCUGAUUUUUGAGAAGUAACUGAGUUUUACCAUACAGCUGAGUGCAACUGCUAAUUCCGUCUUCUCUGCAUUUGACAAGUGAACUCCAUCAUUAAAAAAUACAGUUUCAAUGAUAGUAGAAAUAUGUAUAGAUUUAUGUAGCUAAAUAAUUCCUCUUCCCUUUAUUUUGCACUAUAUGUGGGUCUCUCUGAAAGUAGUGCCUCCUAUUUAUUAUCAUGGUAACUGCAACAGAUACAAAUAGCACAGUAACACAGUUUGAUCUGAGCUACAAAACACUAUUUUUCAACACAGUCAGCAUCAUUAGCUAUGCAUGUUCACCAGCACUGAACAAGAGCCUGCAUGCCAUGCUCAUAAAAAUCUGCACCAGUGGAGAUGGCUCAGUGGCACCGUUGCCACUGCUGAAACACACCAUCCACCCUUCUGUAAGCAUCAAUGAAUGUCAGUGGCUGCCAUUUUCUCUGCAUGGAGGAAUUCAUUGACAAACCUUUGCUUCAUACACACUUCCAUGUCAGAUGUCAUUUUUGUCAGACUGCCCCUCUGCUACCAUCUGUCACACAGCAACAACACAGAAUAGGAUAUUGGUGGGAAGGUUCAAGAUCUACUGCCAUAUCACAUCUGCUUCUGACGUUGUAAGCCAACAAAACCAAAUAGGAGGCAUUAAUUUCAGAGCAACCCUCAUAAAAUAAGGGGCAUUAUGUCCAGAGUAGUCCUUUUAGAUGGUCUUUUAAUAAAAUCUAGCAGGCAAAAAAAUUGGCACUAGAACCUUCACUUUGAUUCACAAAUGAAUCCAAGGCAAAGGUAGUGCCAGCACCAUUUCUUGCCUCACAAUUUGACCUAAUUCUUCAUGCUGUGCCUGGUUUAUACAAGCACGGGCAAAAUGGCUGAUGCCCAAAAGGCUAAUAAAGAUCACCCUGCUCCCAGCAUGCUCUCUACUGUUAGAAACCAGCAAUUAACUUAAUAGGGUUCCUGAAAUGCGGUAGUUUCAGGAGAUGUGGCAUGCGUUGACAUUCUCUGGCUGGUCUAAACAACCUCCCAUCCCUCAGAAGCAGGAUAUGUUUGCUAUUUGAAUUAUUUAGGAGCAUGUUAUGUGAAUGAUAAAGCUGCACUUUGCAGCAUUAAGUCUAAUAUUUUAUGAUCUUCAAUUGAUUAGGUAGGCUUUUGGGAUUAGCUAUAAAGGUUGUGAUAAAGCAUCCCAGAUUCUGGCAAUUUGUGUUCACAGUUGGAGUUUCAAGUUCUAUGCAGCAAAAGUUGUGGAAAAGAAGUCGUUUUAUCUUAUGUUUUCUAUCAAAAAGACUAUUUUACUCGCAACUCACCAAAGAUGUUUUGAGAUGUCCAAAGAAAAUAAAGGAAUUGAUUUGCUCAGCCAGCUAGAGCAGUACCAAUAUUUUUAUGGGAUUUAGUGGACAUUCACACAAAGGUUUAUGUGAGGAAGGAUACUUGUGCAGCAAGGUAUGAGGAAAUAGCAAAACAGAUUGAUUUGGACAAAAGGAAACCAUCAGGGGUUGAGACAGAUUUAAACAAAGGUGGCAGAAGAGAAAUAAGAUGACAUGGAAGAAAGCAUAAAAGCAAGAAUGAAAGAAACAGAGGUAGAAGAGACAGAGGAGCAACACUAAGACAUGGUGAAGAGGGGAUUAAAAAAAAAAAAAUCAAGAUUUUCAAAGGAAUAGAGGAUAAGCCAUCAGGCCUCACAAAACUAACUUCUGCUCCUGCUGAUUUCUUCUUUCUCAUUGCUUCUCCAGUUUCCAUGCUACUGGCUUCUGCUUCUGACAAUAGAGAUUUGUACAUCGAUGCUGUGCUCGCCAGCUGGUCCGUGGGAUUUGCAUUACGCUAUUUGUUUGGAUGGAUGCUUUCCUGUAAAGAGAUGAUGUCGCGUUUUUCAGCCGGCACAGGAGAUCAGAACCAUCAUAACCCCUUCUCCGCCAGCCUUGAAGUCGGUACAAAUCUAUCUGUACAUUUGGGGGAAAAUAAUUUAAAUGCUGCGAGUUACGGGUUUGCAGGCUGCUGAAAGCUCAACAGCCAUUCAGGCUUCAAAGACAAAAGGGAGAUUUCCCUCUUUAAUCUUCGCCGAUGUUCCCUCACUCAACCCAUCUUGGCUGGAAGCUCUCUGGAGCAGCGCACACAGCGCUCGCCAAUGCGCGGAGCCGUGCGCUCCUGGUGCUAAUAAAGCCAUCGCUCCAGCACGGCAGGUCGGGUGAUUACUGCCUCUGGUAAAUGCUUGUGAGACAAUAAGCAGACAUAGGGAGAAAUGAACUGAUUGAGGUGAGCAAGAGGAUGGGGUGGAUGAGAAACGCGGGGUGGGAGAGCCUCGGCGAUACGUUCACCCAGGGGAACCUCACCCUGCUGGUGGAUUCCCGACCCACGCUCUUAUCUCUCUGCAGAGCCCGCAGUGAAAAGCCAAUGCUGUUCGGGAAGCUUUUUCCUUACAGAUGAGAUAUAAAACCAAUGCCUGCCUAACCACUUAUGUACAUUAAUGAUCCCCCGGUGCUCUCCAAAAGAGGAAAAAUAUUAACCCAGGCAUCAUAAUAAUAUGCUGCUUGCUUAUAAGCCCUGUACAAUUUAAAUUCAAUCUGGUGUGAUGUUAUUUCUGACUUCCUGACCCAAAUUGGUGUGCGUGCAGCUCUGAGCUGUUAAGCAGAUGAUUGUUCCAUCCCAGCAGCAGAUCCAUCUCUCCAAUGCCUUGGAAGGAUUUCUCGGCCUGCGUUGCAGAGAGCCUCUGUUGAAAAAUGUGCCGCAUGUCAAACCGUUGGCUGAGCACAGCACAUCAUCCAUGGGGCCAUUUUUACUGUACACACACAUCCUUCGUUUCCUACGAACACACCACUGCCAGAGACUGCAGAUGGAGAAAGGCUCUCAAAUCCCUCUGUUGGUAAAAAGGCGAAAAUGCUCCAGACGGAUUUUCCUCUCCUUUUCCACCUACCCACAGCUCCUUCAGACAGCGUCCUCCCUAUGCAGCAAAUGCAGUCCUGUGAAGGUCAGGGUUGGUGAUAGGCCCGUGUUUUGCUGCUGUGUGCUCAGGUGCAGAAGGUAUGGGAACCCUCCUGGUCCCACCCUGUCUGGGUUUCCCUGGGAGAGCCCUGGUGCCAGGACCUGCACCCCGGAGCUGCUCACACCCUACCUGCUCCGCAAAUGAGCAGAGCCAAAGCAGAUGGCUUUGUGGAGCAUAAAACAAAACAGAGAGAUCUGUGGUGGCUGCAGAAAUACUGCCCUGGCUCUCCCCUGCGUGAUCAGGGGAUGGCAGGGCUCUCCUGCUCUGGGCAGCUGGGUGAGCCCCUAGAAGCUGAAGCUGCUGGAAGAGCUGGCUGCUGACCGACCUCCUGCAUGCCCAAUCCCAGCUCUGCGCUUGCAUUUGUGUUGCAGCAGUGUUUUCCUGGGAGCCAAACAAAACAGUUGUUCAUGAGCCACUCAGAGUAUGUGCUGGGGCAUGAAGGAGGUGUCAGUUUGUCCUCAUUAGUAAUUGCAACAGACUCACUUUGGUGUAGUGUCCUGCUAAAAGGAAUGGUAUGAUGGAUCUUGUCAUCAUUCCUCUGGAAAGUAAAGUAGUCCUCCCCAGUCCGUGGUCCCAGGCAGAGUUUGCUUGCUGAUACAUGAUCAUGGGCAAUGAAGUGAGCUCCAAUCUCCAUUUACGAGCUUUUACAAUCAAUGGUAUGGUUAAAGAUUGCAUGAUAACUAUGCUGGGAAACUUCUGUUUCUUACUCCCCUGUUUUCAGUUGCAGAUAUUUUAUAAUUCAAUGCUGGACUUGUACAUAAUACUUCAGUACCAUUCAUGCAGGUGGCUCCAAU
ensembl:lncRNA